rnacentral:lncRNA from 1 species
UGCACCCAUCUGUUCUUCUCUGCAAAAAUGUCUUGGCCUUUUCCACACAGAGCCAGUGGGUGGUGGGGGUGACCACUGCAGGUGGACAGGCCAGGUUGCAAGAGCCCCCAUUCUAGAGAGGGUCCUGUCCCAUACCCAGAAGGAAGGAAUGCUGCACAGAGGCCAAGAAGAAUCCAGACAGACAGGCCUUGCCGGGCUUCCCCGCUCAGUCUGUUUGUUUUAGACCAUGCCUUCUUUGUCCAGUCAUAUUUCUACAAGCCUGACCAUACUUUGCUGAACCAAAGCAUGAACAUGGACAGUUUGCUCUAUAUCUUUGGGUCUUCAUCCUGAAGGAUCCUGUGUCACAUAUAAAACUAUGAU